AGUCGCUACCACUGAAAUAUACAUACAAUGUAUAGUGGUGGCUACCAACGAAUUCAGAGCUACGACCACAACUGAUUUGGUUGGUGGCUACCAUGGGGUUGUUGCUAUGGGUACGAGCGCGUCAUUCCAAAAUUGAUUAAUCGACCACUUUCAUUGUAUUUAUACCUUUCAUUCUUUCAGCACAUGAAAUAAUUUUAUAUUAUAUUAGUAUGAUGACGGAGUGUAGGGUGUCUGGCGAUACUGCAGAAAUAAAUGGGCCCAAUUCAAGUCAGUGCCGAUCGUCACUGGGAGAAUUACUAGGAUCCUUUCAAAUCAACGAUUGCUUGAUAAAAUUGAUUCAUCAGGUUAGUUUAAAAUAUUCUGAAAAUAGAAUUGAUUCAGUUCCUGAAAACGUCAGUUAUUUUAUUCGACUAUUUAUUCUACAGUUUUUAUUAUACAAUGAGUUUGAAAAUACAGCAGACAGCCUGGUUCAUGAGGCACCCAAACUGGGUUUCGAUGUUCUUUCUGAACACUUGUGCACAAUUAAUUCUAUACCCAAAGAAGUUUGCAAGGCCAUCAUGUCGCAUUACUUCGCUGGAGAUUGGACACAUUUUUUCGAUUUGUGGAAUAGCCUCAUCCCUGAAAGCAUCCGAGAAGGUGCUGAAUACAAAAUUUUGACUUUUAAGCUUCAUCUGCAUUUUGCUAUUCUACCACUCAGAAUUAAACAACUUCAUGCAAAAGUGAACAGAAAAGAGUAUGAUCAGAUGUCAAGUGGACAGAUGAUGGAAAUAAUUGCAAACGCGACAGAAACGUACUUUUGUGGAGCAAAGGUAGACAAUAAUCAAUCAAAGCAAAUAAUAUCAGAGGCUAUGGAACAACUGAGAAUAUAUUUAGAGACAGAUGGCCGUGACUUCGAAGAAAAUACCGAACUACUCCCUUUAUUUGCCCUCCCUUGUAUGAACGAUGCUCAAACCUACUCAACUUUUCCAGAACUAUUCGAAUUGAGUUGGAUGGAGGAUUUGACUAAGGCUCUUCAAAUCUUCAUCAUGAACCAAAAGCAGGUUCGGUCAACUAUAUCUCAAAAAACUUCCACAGACACAAUCAUGACAAGAUGCCCAUACGUCUGUGUCCAAGGCAAUAUCUCUUCGACCUGUGAAAAUAUCAAUAAUUGUCAGGAUAGAUUAAUUAGUAUCGAUUCUUUGAGCAACGAACCAAUAACGCAAAAUGAUCUAUCAAAAAUGCCAUUGGAAAUAACGAAAAGUACAAUAAUGGGAUUAAUCCCCCAGAAAAUAAAGAAUGCUAAUACAGAAAUUAUAGUAAAUGAUCGUGAUAUACCGAUGUUCCGGAAAGGUCACGACUUAGAAGAUCAAUUCGGAUACUGCAUUAAGCAUCAAUCUCAUAGAAUUCAUUCCAAAAGCGCUCAGACCAAAAUUAGCACUUUAACAACAACAACAAACUUUAUCUCGACGAGUGACCUCUACCAUCCUGCAACUAUAUUGAAUUCUGCAACAUUUACAAAAAAUAUGAAUGCAUCGAUUGAAUCCAAUCAGGAAUUGGCAAUAACUAAAUCACAUUUGAACCACAUCCGAUGUAACUACGAAAGAUUGAAGACAAGAUUCCAUGAACUACAUUCAGAUUAUCACAAGUUGCAUGGAAUUGCUGGAGAAUUAACAGCUGCUCUUGAAAAUUCAGUUAGAGGAGAGGCAGUUGACUUGCAGAGGAUGUUAGAAUCAUGUAUUGCUAUAUUUCCUGAUUUAUUUAACCAUAACGUCAGAGGAUAUACAUCAGGUACAAAUGUCUUACUUGAUCAAGAAGUGGAAAUAAAGGAGACAGAUCUCACUAUAGAGCCUCACGUGCAAUAUAAUCUCAACCCCGUUUCUCCAAAGUUUUUGGAUUAUAAGAAAAUCAAGUUUCAUUUAAUCAAUGGAAGUGUUAAAACAAAAUUGCUGUUACUGCAAGCUUUACGAUGGAAACUUACACUGAGCCAACCUGGAGACCGAGAUGAAACGAUCAAUGAAUACUUGAGAGGGGAUAUUUUAGGACUACAUGCUCAAGUGGCAUGUGAUAGCGGCAAACAAAUUUUACCUUAUCUUCUGAUGCCCAAAAACGUAGCUACUCCACAUCCUCUACAACAAUCUGCAGCUAGGCUGAUCAAUACCCUGGCGUCUCUGAGAUGUGGUAGAGAUUAUUUAGCAAUUGGUGCUAGACUACUAGAUUUAAUUAUUAAGUGCCUGACUGAGAACAAUGGAAGGUCUAUAGAUGCCUUUACAUGCGACAUGAUAAUUGCUAUGCUACAAAAAAUGUCCUUACGUAAACAGCAACGACUCUACAUGAUCGAAACUGGGCUAGUGGAAUGGUUAAUAUUUCAUUUGAAAUCUGAAAUCUACAGGGUGGGUUCCUAUAGAUUGAAAUAUGCUACAGCACUUUUAAUGAAUCUUUCGUUACACAAAGAAGCUCAAAUACGUGCCUCUGCAAUCGCUCCAAUAGUUAUUUCCACCCUCACUACAUUAUUGAGUACAGAUCAUUUACAGGCGCUACCUUACAUCAAUGGCUCAUUGAAUAGUUUUUUGUCUAAUGAAGUCAUUAAUGAGGAAGCAAAAAGAACUGGACUCACAAGCAUACUAGAAUGUCAUCGUAAUCAAAAUUCAGGAGAAAUCAGAAAACAUUUGGAACAUAUUUUGAAAAUUCACAACCGUGAUUAUGCCUUAAAUCGCGAAGACUAUGAGACCGCAGAUGACGAUAACGAGGAAUUGGAUGAGCUAGAAGAUGAGCUAGAAGAGGGGGACCCUGUUAAAAUGCAUUCUGGAGAAUUAUCCGGGGAAGCUCUUUUAGCAUCUUGUUAUUCCAUUGCUACAAGCACUACACAACCAUGCGGUAUGAAUGUUAUUGAGUCUGGACCGAAAACACCAAAGAUGCACUCUCGGACAAACAUGUCUAAGAAUUCUCAGACACAGAAACACCCUCCAAAGAAACAUCAUGAUGUCCAGUUGUCAACUUUUGAUAUUCGAUCAUCGCCUAGAUUAAUCCCGCAACAUUUACCACCUCAUCGAAAGGAUAUCGCAUAUACUUCACCUGUAAGGUCAUUACUCCCAGUUGAUUACACAUCGUCGAUUAAAAAGUUGUCACCUGUCUCAAUUGAGGGGAGGCAGACAGUAGUGAAGGGUACAGAGUCAGACUGCCCGUCAGUUUCUGAAAUAUGUAGUAGUUCCACCAGUCGAUUGACAUCCAAAACAUCCAUGACUUCGGCGGCUAUAGGCAGUGAUAUCAGAAUCGAUGCUCCAUCUGAUAAAUCACGAAUGAGCACCCAUUCCCCGUACUUUUGCAGUUUUACUCGGACUUACAAGCGAGAAAAGACUUCUGUUAAAUCCAUACAGCCUAAUUUUCAAUUGAUUGAUUCAUCCACUGCUAUCCAAAGAGACCAAAGAACAGAGCCUCAGGGAUUGAAUGAGCCCUGGAAAAUGGAUGAACGAUUAAGAUUCCCUAAAAAAAAUGCAAAUACCACCUCAUUAUUGGGGCAGGAUGAAAAGAUAUUGAAAUCCGUUAGAUUGGAUUACUCCAUAGAAUCAGAUAACAGCGAAUCAGCUCUCUGUUUAUAUGCCAAUGAAAGCUCCAAGUGUGUUAACGACGGGAAUUUCUAUAUCUUCAUUGUAAUAGUAACACUACCUUAAUCAACUAGUUCAACUGCUUGCUUAUUUGCUUCAGAGGUAGCAGCAAAACAACAGUGACUUCUUCAGUAAUUCUGGGAACAACUUGCGAUGGCGUGAUUGCAGAAACUGAAAAGCUGAGCAGCAUUGCGUCACUGUGAGUGUAUGUUAAAAACUGGGCCAAAUGAUUGUUCCAGAUUAACUAUCACUAUCAUUUUGAUACAAUUUUUAUUACUUUCUACUCACUAAUUUUUGUAACUGCUCUAUUUAUUCUCAUAUUUGUUUUAUUUUAAAAUACAAUCAAUAAAUUAUUGCGCAUAUUUAUGCACGAAAGUUGAAUUUUUGUUAGGCUUCUUUCAUGUAAUUGGUAAACACCGAUAUCUUGAGCAUUAAGUGGUGUUCUCUUUGUUGUUUUUUUUUUUUUUUUGAGAACUCAUCUGCGUUGGGAACAAUCAAUGCUCUGUUGUCAUUCGUACCUUUAUAACAAUUCAAUAAAUGUUGUUCAGCGUUUGCUGCGUCCUAAUAAUGCUAAAAAUUUUAUACAUGUUUUAUAAUCGCAGGGAUUUAAAAAAUGUGGAUGCUUCCACAACUGCAAAAACAACAACAGUGGGACCUGA